rnacentral:rRNA from 1 species
GAUGAACGCUGGCGGCGUGCCUAAUACAUGCAAGUCGAGCGAACAGACGAGGAGCUUGCUCCUCUGACGUUAGCGGCGGACGGGUGAGUAACACGUGGAUAACCUACCUAUAAGACUGGGAUAACUUCGGGAAACCGGAGCUAAUACCGGAUAAUAUAUUGAACCGCAUGGUUCAAUAGUGAAAGACGGUUUUGCUGUCACUUAUAGAUGGAUCCGCGCCGCAUUAGCUAGUUGGUAAGGUAACGGCUUACCAAGGCAACGAUGCGUAGCCGACCUGAGAGGGUGAUGCGGCACACUGGAACUGAGACACCGUCCAGACUCCUACGGGAGGCCGCAGUAGGGAAUCUUCCGCAAUGGGCGAAAGCCUGACGGAGCAACGCCGCGUGAGUGAUGAAGGUCUUCGGAUCGUAAAACUCUGUUAUUAGGGAAGAACAAAUGUGUAAGUAACUAUGCACGUCUUGACGGUACCUAAUCAGAAAGCCACGGCUAACUACGUG